GACGAACGCUGGCGGCGUGCUUAACACAUGCAAGUCGAACGGAAAGGCCCUGCUUUUGUGGGGUGCUCGAGUGGCGAACGGGUGAGUAACACGUGAGUAACCUGCCCUUGACUUUGGGAUAACUUCAGGAAACUGGGGCUAAUACCGGAUAGGAGCUCCUGCUGCAUGGUGGGGGUUGGAAAGUUUCGGCGGUUGGGGAUGGACUCGCGGCUUAUCAGCUUGUUGGUGGGGUAGUGGCUUACCAAGGCUUUGACGGGUAGCCGGCCUGAGAGGGUGACCGGCGACAUUGGGACUGAGAUACGGCGCAGACGCCUACGGGAGGCAGCGGGGGGAAAUAUUGCACAGUGGGCGGAAGCCUGAUGCAGCGACGCCGCGUGCGGGAUGACGGCCUUCGGGUUGUAAACCGCUUUCGGCUGUGACGAAGCGUGAGUGACGGUAAUGGGUAAAGAAGCACCGGCUAACUACGUG
rnacentral:rRNA from 1 species